rnacentral:rRNA from 1 species
GGCGUGGAUAAGACAUGCAAGUCGAACGAGAGAAUUGCUAGCUUGCUAAUAAUUCUCUAGUGGCGCACGGGUGAGUAACACGUGAGUAACCUGCCCCCGAGAGCGGGAUAGCCCUGGGAAACUGGGAUUAAUACCGCAUAGUAUCGAAAGAUUAAAGCAGCAAUGCGCUUGGGGAUGGGCUCGCGGCCUAUUAGUUAGUUGGUGAGGUAACGGCUCACCAAGGCGAUGACGGGUAGCCGGUCUGAGAGGAUGUCCGGCCACACUGGAACUGAGACACGGUCCAGACACCUACGGGUGGCAGCAGUCGAGAAUCAUUCACAAUGGGGGAAACCCUGAUGGUGCGACGCCGCGUGGGGGAAUGAAGGUCUUCGGAUUGUAAACCCCUGUCAUGUGGGAGCAAAUUAAAAAGAUAGUACCACAAGAGGAAGAGACGGCUAACUCUGUGCCAGCAGCCGCGGUAAUACAGAGGUCUCAAGCGUUGUUCGGAAUCACUGGGCGUAAAGCGUGCGUAGGCUGUUUCGUAAGUCGUGUGUGAAAGGCGCGGGCUCAACCCGCGGACGGCACAUGAUACUGCGAGACUAGAGUAAUGGAGGGGGAACCGGAAUUCUCGGUGUAGCAGUGAAAUGCGUAGAUAUCGAGAGGAACACUCGUGGCGAAGGCGGGUUCCUGGACAUUAACUGACGCUGAGGCACGAAGGCCAGGGGAGCGAAAGGGAUUAGAUACCCCUGUAGUCCUGGCAGUAAACGGUGCACGCUUGGUGUGCGGGGAAUCGACCCCCUGCGUGCCGGAGCUAACGCGUUAAGCGUGCCGCCUGGGGAGUACGGUCGCAAGAUUAAAACUCAAAGAAAUUGACGGGGACCCGCACAAGCGGUGGAGUAUGUGGCUUAAUUCGAUGCAACGCGAAGAACCUUACCUGGGCUUGACAUGUAAUGAACAACAUGUGAAAGCAUGCGACUCUUCGGAGGCGUUACACAGGUGCUGCAUGGCCGUCGUCAGCUCGUGUCGUGAGAUGUUUGGUUAAGUCCAGCAACGAGCGCAACCCCUGUUGCCAGUUACCAGCACGUGAAGGUGGGGACUCUGGCGAGACUGCCCAGAUCAACUGGGAGGAAGGUGGGGACGACGUCAGGUCAGUAUGGCCCUUAUGCCCAGGGCUGCACACGUACUACAAUGCCCAGUACAGAGGGGGCCGAAGCCGCGAGGCGGAGGAAAUCCUGAAAACUGGGCCCAGUUCGGACUGUAGGCUGCAACCCGCCUACACGAAGCCGGAAUCGCUAGUAAUGGCGCAUCAGCUACGGCGCCGUGAAUACGUUCCCGGGUCUUGUACACACCGCCCGUCACAUCAUGGAAGCCGGUCGCACCCGAAGUAUCUGAAGCCAACCGCAAGGAGGCAGGGUCCUAAGGUGAGACUGGUAACUGGGAUGAAGUCG